rnacentral:rRNA from 1 species
GAUGAACGCUGGCUACAGGCUUAACACAUGCAAGUCGAGGGGAAACGACGGGGAAGCUUGCUUCCCCGGGCGUCGACCGGCGCACGGGUGAGUAACGCGUAUCCAACCUGCCUCUGACUGAGGGAUAACCCGUCGAAAGUCGGCCUAAUACCUCAUGGCAUCGUCUGCGGGCAUCCAACGACGAUUAAAGAUUUCAUCGGUCAGAGAUGGGGAUGCGUCUGAUUAGCUUGUUGGCGGGGUAACGGCCCACCAAGGCGACGAUCAGUAGGGGUUCUGAGAGGAAGGUCCCCCACAUUGGAACUGAGACACGGUCCAAACUCCUACGGGAGGCAGCAGUGAGGAAUAUUGGUCAAUGGGCGAGAGCCUGAACCAGCCAAGUAGCGUGCAGGAGGACGGCCCUAUGGGUUGUAAACUGCUUUUAUGCAGGGAUAAAGUGAGGGACGUGUCCUUCAUUGCAGGUACCGCAUGAAUAAGGACCGGCUAAUUCCGUG